AGUCGCUUUUGAAUUUGUCGUUAUGGUUUCGAUACUAACAACGUAGUGUGCUGAUUGGUCGUCGAUACCGUUAUCUCUUUGUAUUCCGUCUCUUUGAUAUUUAAAAUUAUCGAUUAUAUCGUCUCUUUAAUUCUAUUCGACGUGCUGGAAAGAGAAUUCUAGGAAAAAAGUUUGAAUAAUUUAUGAUCAUUAUGAAAUCCACAUAUCUGGGACUCUUACCUCGCUUCAUCGGCGAAGACAAACUUCCGGAGCUUAAGGUCCCUCAGCACGACCCCGUACUCGUGACAGGUCGCAACAGCCCUGGCCGCCUGUCGAAAGAGCCGUCUCGCCUCGGGCUCGCGCAGUCUCCUGCGCGCCCUUACGUAGGCAUGCAGGUCACCGUGAUGGCCC